rnacentral:rRNA from 1 species
CCUACGGGCGGCAGCAGUGAGGAAUAUUGGUCAAUGGGCGGGAGCCUGAACCAGCCAAGCCGCGUGAGGGAAGAAGGUACAGCGUAUCGUAAACCUCUUUUGUCAGGGAACAAAGGCGGGGACUAGUCCCCGGAUGAGGGUACCUGAAGAAAAAGCAUCGGCUAACUCCGUGCCAGCAGCCGCGGUAAUACGGAGGAUGCGAGCGUUAUCCGGAUUUAUGGGGUUGAAAGGGUGCGCAGGCGGCCUGUUAAGUCAGCGGUAAAAGCCCGGGGCUCAACCCCGGCGAGCGGUUGAAACUGGCGGGCUGGAGUUGGAGAGAAGUACGCGGAAUGCGCGGUGUAGCGGUGAAAUGCUUAGAUAUCGCGCAGAACCCCGAUUGCGAAGGCAGCGUACCGGCUCCACACUGACGCUGAGGCACGAAAGCGUGGGUAUCGAACAGGAUUAGAUACCCUUGUAGUC